ensembl:lncRNA
GUGUGUGUGUGAGUCGCGAGAAAACCAUCAUCUUUCACAACACAAGCCAAUUUCAUCCAAUAAGGUGCCGGUGAGUGAGAUGAGUGAGCGUUCCGUUUCAAUCUGUCUUGAAAACACAAACCCACUCACUCUCAAGCCUUUCUGUCCUACACACACACACAGACUUUCAAACAUGCUUCAAGGUCAGAAUGUAAAGCAAAGCAAUGACGUGUUUCACUGUGCCAUCUGUCUGCCUCAUACAUCUUAUCUCACUUGUUGCAUUUUGUGCCUGUUCCUUGGGUUCUAGUGUGCUUUUGGCUACCUUUGGUCCUCACAAUAUUUCCCUGGCCUGACUGCUCCUCUUAUUUUGCUUCAUCUAGGUGUUAACUUCUCAUCGGAAAGCCAGGAGGCCUUGCAGGGGCGUUGGGGAGCACACCCCCGCUUGGUAUACCGUUAGCUCUGUUCUCAUCAACUGUCUCAGUUAGCCGUGACAACGUGACAGUGAGAAAGCGCGUAACAACACCAGGAACCGGAAACUGUAGUCAGAGCUGCUUCACUAGAGUGGGGCUGUCAGUAUGUUCCCUAGAAUGUGCGUUUGUGAAUGUUUCUGUGGUCUCAAAAGAGUGGUUGAAUUGUAUACAACUCUCGGAGAAAAUGACUUUACUCCAUUAAUGCCCUUAGUAAACAUGGUGAACAUGAGUUUAUGGUCUCCAUCGCUAGUUUCAAUUACAUCAUGAUUCGUUUUGUAAAUGAUGAUCCAUUUAGCGUAAGUAGUGCUAAAUGCUUUAAGGCCAGCUUACUGUGAUUGAAAAAUAUAUGGCUUUACCAGUCCCGUCUACAGCGUCCCUGCUCCACUGUCCAGAUAUGGUGACUUCCGUUAACAAGAUGGAGACAGCAAAGUCCCUGAACUCGAGGCUUUGAAGCAGGCAGUCCAAAAAGCAAUGAGUGACCUCAAGUCAACUUGUUAUAUACAGUCUAUGCCCCCACUCCCCCACCUCUCAAAUUGUCUGGACACCUGAAAAUGGGACAAUGCUACCUGUCUUGAAUUGAGGGAGCGAGAUAUUAGCCCCUAGAAAAGCGUUAGAUCGCCAAUAAAGAAACUCCCUCACGACAAGAGAAUUAAGGCGCGAUUGCUCUACGGCGGUAAGAGAGCUUCUUAAUCACGAAACAUGUCCGCCUUCUGGUCAGGAGUGUUCAAUUAUGCUCUCGGUAAUGUCUUCUGUAUAUUUAAUGGCCAACAGAGAGUAGAAACGGUGUUGAACAACUAACUGCACUCUGCUGUUGCUACCGUAGAACUUAAUGCGUGGGUGGUGAAGAGUACACAUUCUACAAUUUGACAUAUUUGCACAAGGUCAGUCCGAAGCUCUUGGCUUUUAUCUAUUUUAUGUAUUUCUCUUGGAUUGAACAUGUAAACUGGAGUAGAGGAAAUGUAGACACAGAAACACACUGCAGUGAUACAAAUUACCACUUUUCUCUGUUCCCACUGCUAAUAAUUGCACUCCAUUAAAUGUCGGCACAUCGACCUAGUGAGUGGGAAACUGUGUGUGACGUGGGGUGUCUGUAUAUACAGAGGGGGAAACUGUAAAAGCUAUAUAUGCACAAAUUAUGCACUCAGUGUCUGUACUUUAGUGCCAAUUUAAAUACUAGGCUAUGUGCUCGUGUGAUUUGGGGAAUCAGUGUUGCAACUGCAUAAAACAAGUUGGAUAUGCUUUUCUGCUGUCAGACUUUGACAUUGUCCAUGGGUGUUCUUUUUAGUCUUUAAGAUUACUGAUAAUGGGAUUGAGUAUCACAACCGAGAAGAAAAAGAGGAGUCGAUGAGAAAAUGUAAGACAGAGGAGCUGGACAGCAGGAGAAUCUAUCAAAGGGAUAUAUCUAUGUCCUCCAGCCAAAUCAAUGGCACAGCUUAGCUGGAGGCCUGGACACUGUUCAUGGAAGAUGGACGUGGUCCAUAGUACUCCUGCCAUGGAGGCGCAGAGAGCGUUAAAUUUCGACCCUUCCGAUUAACGGGAAAAGUUCGGGUAAGAUUUACUCUGUUCUAUAAUCAACUUGGUGUCUUGUGUGUGCCAAACGGUUAAAAAAGGCCAUAGAUUUUCAAUCAUUCAUUCUCCAGUUGGUGAGUUCUUGUCCUCAGUGCUGCCAGGUGUGAGAGCAAAUUGGUGCUUGUGUGUGUGCGCGAGCCAGCCAGCCAAUGUUGUAAUGCAAUAAAAAAAAAAGGGAACUCAGGGAACUGAGUUGGAACUAAUGCUGACUCAUAACCAGAGGGUAUGCCUCAAAGCAGAGAGCGACAGAGAGUUUGACACCGUAAUACAAGGCGUUACUGAAAGGCACGAUGACCAACCUGUCAUCCAAAUCAAACCAAACCAGUCGUGAAUAUUGUCUUAUGGGUUUGAUGUCUCCAGGUAUUUUACUUUUUGUUGAGACAACUGCUCAACCUUAGGACCGUUUUAUGUCGAAUUAAUUAAAGUCGCAUUCUGGGGCUACUUGGCCCUCCUUUGAAGAUGCUUGAAAGUAAUUGUUUAUUCCUGCUAAAAUAUGAACCAUAUAAUUGGACACACACACGCACUGGACUGCCAUUGACAAUCCCACUAAAUAAAUAAAUCAAAAGCUAAUCAUCUAAUAAAACAGACCAACACAUGAUUUAUUUCUUCAAUAAAAUCCUUCAACUACAGUAAACAACGUCAACACAGUGAAUAUUAAGUGGAUCGCUGUGAGUUACUUUCUUUGAGUAGGAUACAUAAACACUUUAACACACACACGUAUAUAUGUACAGUACAUAGCCUGGUAUUUUGUUGUGAACUCUUGUAACUAAAGCUAUACUUUGACAAUAACAGCUUAACAUUGAGUAAUCACAUCAAUGAAAUUCGAAACUGCUCUUGUCAAAACAUAAAUACAUCUCUUAAAAUGUCGUAAUUCAUUUAAGAACAAAUCAGGAAACACGAUGAUGAUGAAAUGAUUCAUAAUAUGUCUUCAUAAUCAUAACCGUAUGUGCUCAGCAGAAGCCUUUCCGUUUUUUGUGCUUGCUUGUGGACACAUGGGUUGUGAAACGAUAUCUAUGAGAAUUAUGUGUUUUAACGAGACAGUCCCGGGAGUCCUUCAUUUAGUUUCACUGAAGCUGGAUUGUAAACAGAAAAAUGCUCUACAGCGACUAAAAUAAAUUCGCCAAUUAUUUCGGCAGAACUGCUAUCCAGCACUAAUAGCUGCAUUAGCCUCUCUGAGUUUUGUGGUCAAGCCUUAUUAAAAACGCUGCUGAUUAAUGGCCUCCAGUUUUUCAAUAAAAGUGUAACAGCUUUGUGUAGUUACAAAAUCAACGGUACUUAUGUGGUUACUAGGUUUGGAUAAUGGAAAUGGUGUCCUAAAGUUGUAGUAUGACAUAAUGUAAUCUAUUCCUGUUAGUUCCUAUAGAGUCACAUAUUUAUCAAAUUUAGUUUGUGACGCAUGGCCGUUUGUAUCGAAGGACUUAAAAUCCAAUUAUCAAUCAAAAAUGUUUUCUUACCAGACCUUACUGUAUGUUGCCUUGAGUGGAAAUUACUGCGGUCUUUUGUUUUUACAGAAUGGACACUAUCGUCUACAUUCAAGGGUGUGUGUCAAGUAUUUAUUGUAAAAGAAGCCAAGCGAUCCCUGUGUCUGCUUCCUACCACUUUCCAAGCCACUGCAAUUCAGAAUAUGUCUCUUCAUCUUGCUGCAUAAUUUAGCUACCCUGACGAGGACACGGCCUGAAUGAAUCGCUCAAAUAUCAGCUCUCUGCAUGCAUACCUGCAUGUCUGCCCGGCUGCUGCUGAUUUCAUGCUUUAAGUAUCCUAUAAUACAUUAUUGAGCAAUAGGAUCGGCCAGAAAUAACACCGGAAAUCAUGUUUUGUAUUAACGUACAGUUCUGGCUGGAAUAUGAGCCAAAAAUACAGGACGUAUUGGCCUAGUAAUGUGUCCUAUGGAGAAAGAAAAUGGAAAUAAAUUGCCGGUAUUUAAAAAAAAAACUCGCCAUCUAAAAAGAAUAACAGCCAUUACAGCCCACAUUUUCUUACUUUCUGAGCAACUAUCUUGUGUAGAUAAUAGCUUGUAUAUAAUGUAGGAAGAGACCCAUUUCCCUUUCUGUUGCCACGAUCGAAUACUCGGUGCAACAAUUUAACUUCAAAAUCAAGGUUACAAACGUGGGAUUUGAAAAUAGCGUGUGGCUACUGAUCAAUGUUAACAAUAGCUUGAUGACUAAUUACACAAACAUGAAAAUUGAGAAGGUCUUUGUAGUGACGCAACAGCAAGCAUGUUUGGUGUUUGUUUGACCCUCCUCAGCCAUCAUUAUUCUGCAGUACUUUGGUGCAUACAAUGUGACUAUCAUGCUCUUAUGAAUAUCAGGCUCUUCCACUGACAAACCGCUAAGACAAUUCAAACCAAAUUGCAUUUCUAUAAGUGCUUCUUUUACAUAGGAUUCCAUGCAGGGUUUAAAUUUACCCCAUGUCUUCGACAGAUUGCACCACCACGUUUUUUUUCUACACACUAUUCAAAAUGAGUAAUGGGGUAAUUCAACAAUAUUAAUAUGCAAUAUGUCAUGGCAGCUAUGAGCAAUAUGUAGAUAAAAAAAAAUUGAAGCCUCUCAACCUGGCUCUGUCACAGCAACAUGGUGCCUCCAGGUUCAAUGUGUCUUGACACUAAUUAGGCAUUAGGUUUGUCAGGUCCAAAAAUAUGAGCAUGACAGUGAUGCAGAUUUGGUUGUUGUACAUUUAAUAUUAGUCUUAAGUAUCAAGUUGGCAGAAACGUACAAUGUUAGUUGGUUGAAAUUGGGAUUUAAAAGAAAAGUUUUUGCAACAGUAAUUGGAUUAGAUUAAGUACUUACCAACCACUGUUUGCACACUUUUCACAAGUUGCACAAGACACAAAGAACAGUCUCCUCUGUGAAAGUUCUGGGUCGACGCCACCUACCAACUGGUCCGUCUCACUUGUUUUACUUGCUAAUGCAUCACGUAACUUUCAAUAAAAGACACUCCAUAUCCUACACCAAUUAGAUUUUUGUGGUUUGUGAACAUUUUUCUCAGUUUUUCUUAUUAAGCCGCUGUGCUGGUAUAAUGAGCUCUGAUCAUCUCCUCCAUUUCUGAUUCACGGUUACAGAGAUGGAUGUGUUUUGCAUAAACAUCACGCCUUGUGAGGCUUUGAGCUGCGAUUUGAGGAUGUGUUCCGUUGCAUUAGCCCUGAAAAAAAGAUCAGGUCGAUGUCAGCUUGAAACAAGCGAUGGAGGAACUGAAUGUUGUGACACAAAUAAAGAACAUCCCCAGCAGCCACAUACUCACCCACACACAGCUGGUGGCACGUUUGCUCGUGUGUUCACAUAAACCAGUUCUCAAGGGAAGUGUGUGAGUAAAUUUGCUUCAUAAAACAGAUGGCUUAGAAGCCUGGAAGAGUUCCUCUCUUAUUCAACAUAUGUCUUCCCUGCCUUUCUCUCUCCCUCUUUUUCUUACUUACUCUCUCAAUCAAUUCAGUCUUUUUAUCCUUUCAUCACGUUCUCUUUUGAACACUGUUAGUUCCCCUCAUUCACCAAACAGUAGAUGAUCUGACAUUGUUAUUGAAGGAUUUUCAGUUUUCUUUCCUUUAGAGAGAGAGAAAAUAAGUGGAGCUCUGGGAUAUUUGUUUUCAAAAGGCAUCACUUCCACACUUCAGGGACAAAUAAAAAAAAUAGGAGGUAGACUUGGCGGUAGAGAGUAUGUUGGUACAUCAACAUCCAAACAGGAGAAGGAAAAAAAUCUAGCUGAAUCAAAACCUUUGUCACAGCUGUUCUUCAGAGAGAAGAGUGCAGGCCUCUGGAGUAUACUUUUUCCAAAGCGUACCUUUUUGGGCGUCAGUGGAAGUUCAGGAAGAAGGAAGGUUCGCUAUCCCAACUUCACAGUCAAGAUGGCUUUGAGACAGAACCUCCAAUUUAGGUCAUUUACAGGAGAAGCAAGACAACUAGUGAAAGCGGUAAAUCAGAUUUUUGACUGACAGAAGGAAGGUUGACAGGUAGAUUUUCUCUUUCUCUGGGCAUUCUCAAAAGCAUUGCCCCACCCUUGAACAAAAAGAAAAAAAUAGGGUUGUUCCUUCUUUUUUUCAAUUAAUUGCAUCAUAAUAUAACAAAUCUCUCUUUGAGAGGACUCGUUACUCCCGAGUCCUUGUAAGGAUUCGUUGAAUCGUUCACAAACGACACAUCACUGCAGUCUAGCAGUUGUUAAACUCCUCGCUACAUUACAAUUAUUGGCAUCAGGAUCUUUUUAAACAGUCAGAGCAUAUAUACAUUUCCCCUCCACUAAUGCUGAAAUGACACAUCAACCUUACUACUUUGGUGAAUUAUCCCCUUCCUUGCUUCUAAUGUGUGGGGAUUGCUUGAACAUGGACACCUUUCCAGGGACCUUUGUGGUGGUGCUUAGGCAAUGGUUAGCAUUUAGUGCUACAGCAGAGUGAUCAUUGGUACAGAGCCAUUGGCAAAGCGCACACCGUAUUAGGCCCCAGAGAAUGAUUUGAGUUUACUUAACACAUCUGCGAGUGUCCCCUGCUGGCACCUACUCAUAUCCUGCUGUAGCAGAAAUAUAUGCCUCAUUGAGAUGCAGAACUGGUCCUCCCAUCCUUUUCUGCCACCUUCAACCCAUCCCUCAGUCCCUGCCUACCUCUGUGUUUCUUCCAUCAUCCAUUUAACCCCCGUCCAUCCAUUUAGUUAUCUCUAGCACUCUCUCUACGUCUCUCUUUCUUUCUCUCCAUCUAUUCAUUUUCACUUAUCGGGGGUAAUCAUUUAUCUCCAUUUGAGGUGACGGAAAGUUGAACCCACCCCCCCCCCCCUAAUCUCCCCUCUAUUCAUCCGUCUCUCUCCCCCUAUCUGCAUUCCCUCUUAGUCAGUCCAUCAACCAUUUCCGCCUCUCUUUCCAUCACUGCUAUCGCUUAGUCUUUGUUUCCAUUUGCUCACUCCUCUCCCUGUGUUUGUCAUUGUCUUUCCUCUUGUCUCUCAUGCUUGCUUUCCUAGGUAGUUCAUCCCCCCCAAAAAAAACACACUGGUUUGAGUGACAAAACAUGCGAUAACUUUGGUCCUAAUUGGUGCUCCAUGGGAACCCCAACCCAAUCAUGACAACAUCAGCUAACCAAUGUAUUUAUAUAACAGUGGAAUAAGUGGAAUGCUUUACAAAGUGAAAGACACACACUUUGACAGAUCAUAAGACGAAACAAAAGAAGCAGGGAUGUAGCUAGAUAACUCGUUUAAGCUGCAUUGUCAUUAAGCUAAACGUAUCUUCAAACCUGUGCAAAUAUAGUGUACUUCCUUAACUUUUCAAUGUGAAUGAAUUAAUGUGUUUACUUGAAAAAACAAUACCGUCAUAUACCGGGAUACCGUCACAAUCUUUCUAAAUUCUGUGAUAUGAUUUUUUGGGCCAUACCGCACAGCCCCAAACUGAACACGGUGCACUUAUCGAUCGAAGCUAGAGCGCUAACAAUGGAACUGAGACGCGAAACAGCAAUACAAGAAUCUGCCAAUAUAAUUUAUAUUUCUCUCAGACAAGCCUUCCCAGAGGUAGGGGAAAACCCAACAACAAGCACUCAAAUCACAGGAUUCCAUAAAGAAGCUGGGAAAUCGGCCCAGGAUUCAAAUAACUAUCUCAGCUCUCUGCAGAGUGGUUGUGAGGCCUCAACUAAAGCCUUUCUGUAUUUGCUUUGCUCAAAGUAAAACCUUUACAUAUUUACCGUCCACACACUAGGGUAACAUACAAGAGUUUCAGGUGUGUUCCCUCAUGUUUUGUGGGGGUAAAGCCCCUGUAAAUACUUUUUCCCAAGGCGGUGUUCUGUAUAUACAAUAUAUCAGUAUAUGUACUGAUAUUUUAAAAUCUUAAGAACACUCUGAAGUGUUCCCUUCUAUUAUGAGACCAGAAAUUCCAAGAUCAUAAAUAUGCCAGUUUCUGUGUGUAAAUGAAAAUUUGAGCACGAGACCUGAAAGACAUCUACGGCUUAAAAUUAAGCACUUUAGCAGAGGUGAGUAAAGCGUAUAUUUCUACAAAUUAUUUAUUAUAUUGUUAGUACACCUUUUAGUACUCUAUGCUUUUGUGCCAUGAGAACAAAAAUGCGUCCAAGUGUGAUGCUGUGUGUCAAACAGGAACUGUCUCCAAGGCCAAUGGAGUAAAAAAAUCAUCAAGAUCUCUGGUAAAGGAGAUUAUUAUAUUAGAGAAAAACAUGUUUAGACUUCAUCCGCAUUAUCUAUGUUCUUUUGGGUCUUUCUCUGUCCAAUUUUUUUUAAAAUAUAAUACGAAGCAAAUCAUUCUAGUCAGGUUCAGCUUAAUCAGAAAACCAGAACUUUAAAUGGAUGCCUGUGGAGAUGGAUUAGAGAUGCUCAGGUUACCACACAUUUUUAGACUAGAUGAGUUGUAGUGGAAUGCAUUCAGUAAGGUCUCAGAGGUGUUUAUUUGCGUCAAUUAUAGAUUCUUAGUUUAUGGGCAUUUUUCUUCCACCUGACAUUAAAGUUGUGCUCCUGGAAAGUUUUGCCAGUGAAAACAUUGGUUAUUAAUUAAAAAGACAAGUACUUCUUUCGAAGCAGCCGUAUUCAUGGAUGAAUUAAACAUGUGUUGUAAGGUAAUACCUCAUGAAUAUUGUAACAUAUUGCAGGGUGUUGGAGGCUAUUGUUCAAAGUAAGAUGUUUAUUGAGCAGGAUCUUCUUUUUGCAGGCUAACGCGCUUAAACAUUCUGAAAGGUUUCGAGCUAAAAGGUAGCGGUGUUAUGUGUGUCUCUGUGUAAGAUAAUGAAUAACUGUGUGUGACUGUGGAUGUUGGAUGUGAUGAUGGUAUAUUGGUUCCUAAUCCUCGGGAGAAUUUAAUGCAUGUGGUGUGGACUUCCUCUCCACACUCCUCUACCCUGGUUACAAGUUACAGGAAAGUUACUGUAAAAUACUGUAAUGCAAAGAAGGACCAUGUGAGAGUUAGAGAAAAAGUUCCUUUGAUUAUUAAAUCAUGAUUGAAUUAAGGUACUUUAAUGGGGUUUUCAAAGGAUGAUUCAUGGAUAAAUAAAGAGAUUGUAAUCAAAUUUUAACCCUUUUAAAAAGAAUUCUGCCACCCCUCAAUGGUUAAAUAUGCUUAAUGGGCUGGUAAGUGCUUGUCAUCUUUUACUUUAUGCAAAUGAAAUGCCCUUCAAUAUAAAAGUUUCAAAAGUAUAUUGACAUUUGGAGAUAUUAAAAAAAAGUUGACAAAAAGUAUUUUUGGGUUGAAUAUAACGUCUGUCUCCUGACGCGAACAGUUUUUAGCUAACUAUCCCGUAAAACUAUUAAUAAAAAUAUCGUGUAAUGUUUUCAGGGGAUUUAAUGGUGUUAAAAUAGGCAUUAGUUCAUUACCUUUCGGGCCAAAUACUGUUUUAAUUAUGAAAGUGAAAAUGUUCGUAACCAGAGACGGUAAAAGGACAAUAACGCCAGUGAAUUAGCCGUGCGCUGCUGUAGGCAUGACUGACGUCCAUCGUCAUUGUCCAUCCAUCCAUCGUCAAACCGAUUAUCCUGCGCACAGGGUCGCAGAAGUCUGUCCCAGCCAACUUCGGGCGAGACAUCGUCAUUGUAAACAUUAAUUUUUGCAGAGGUUAAACAUUGGUUAAAUGGUCGCCAAAAUUACCAUUGAUGCUGACAACUCAUUCGGGAACCUAAUUCUGGCCUUUCAAUAUAAGAUAUCCCGCUUGAACACCUCCAAAUAGCGCAAGUGCAAAUGCCGCGUUCAUGCAAAUUGACCAGAAAUGUUUCCCAAGAGUCCUGCGGCGCAAUUAGAGCGUUUGAGGAGUCGCGUUGGGUGUGAACGCACCAUAACAGAGAUCCUUACUACUGAACAUAUGCUGCAUUUUGCAUUGUACUUUAAAGAAAAAUGUUUCUUUUACAUGUUCAGAAAAAGUAAAUAUGGUAACUUGCUGUUGAUCUUAACAUUACAAUACACUAGUUCCUAAUGUAGUAUUGAAUUUUGCGCAUAAUGCGAUUAAUCGCGGUUCAUCACAUAAAAUCAUGCAAUUAAUCAAGUUACAUUUUUUCAUCUUUACCAACCACUAAAGCUUUUAGGUUCACAUUUGUUUUUCAAAUGAUCAAAACAUUUGGCUUUAGCUUCAUAUACAUUGCCUAUAUACUUUUGUAUUCAUAUUUCAAAAACAACCUGUGACACAUUUUCAUAUGCUAACUACAGAUGGGGAGGAACAAACAACUUUAAAAGGUAGGUAGGACUUGACGCUCAAUGAUUUUAAAUAGUAACGCAUAAAGAUGAAGCGGUUUGUUUACAGCUGCCGUGUUGUUAGGGGCUUUCCAAAGACUGAAAGACACUGUGCAUCUAUCAGUGUUAUGCAUAUAAAACUCAAUAAAUCCAUUACAUUUUUACCACUAAGUUUAUUUUGGGUAAAGGCACUUCAAUAAUGAUCAUUCACAGGAUUUACAAUUUCUCAUUUUUAUCUUGUAGCUGUCCAGAAACAUACUCAAUUCAACUUCCUACAAUGUGCGGUCAUAUUCAAUUAAGAUACAAUCAUACUUCAAUGACGUAUGGGUCACAUUGGUUUAUAUACAGUAUACAGUAACCACUUGCUGGGAUCAAAUCUUGUCUGUUCACAUCUUCCCCUGAGACGCCACCCUCAGUUCCUCGAUUUGGCUUUAUUUUGACCAACCCACAAUUAGUGAUUGUUGGCAAUGGAAAGGGCUAAACAAGGUGGUUUAGUUUCACUUUGUUUCUGCAGAAUGAAGUGUGUAAUCAAGCCUCCUCAUUUUUCCAACCGGCACAUCCUAAACCCAGCUACCAGCAAGUAUCUGUUACAUAUGAGCCUCUCGUCACCGGUUUUAGCUUUUAGGUAAAGGCACUUCACUAAGCUUCAGUCACAGGAUUUACAAUUUCUCAUUUUUAUCUUCAUAUUCAAUGUCCUACAAUUAGCGGCCAUAUUCAAUUAAGAUACAAUAUUACCUAUUUCUUUCUUUUUACUGUAUAACAGUUUCCAAUUUACGAUGUGCUACGGAUUGACUGCUUCUGUCUUGCUCCCCUAUUUGACCAAUCUGGUUUAAACGUGAGGUUGGGACCGCCUAGCUCAUUAACAUACGGACACAGAAAUAUAUAGAAUAGAUUUACAUAAUCAUGUCCUGUUUAGUUAUCAACUUAUAUUUAUGCAUUUUUGUAUUUAUUUAUUCAUACGUAAGUAGUUUUUUGUCCUUCAUAAUAUUAAAAAUGUCCAUGUGAACAAAUAUUGCAUAAUAACGUUCACUAAUAAUGUUUGCUGCAACUCUGCAUAUCUCCAUGAAAUGCAGCAGGGUUUUUGAAAGGUAGACGUUAAACCAACUGUCUGUCAAUGUAACGCACACAGGCAUACAUCCACAGGUGAAUGGACUGUUAAUACUAGCCGGCCACUCCCAUGUUAAUCACACAACCGCACCUCAAUGGCGUGAAGCUGCUGUGUCGAUAUAUACAUGCAAGGUGCCGGUGCCUCAUUGCCACAUCACGUCCAAUCAAGAAAAAAAAGGGGUGUCUUAGUCGAUCCUGUUAAUGAUUCAUGAGUCUUUAACACACGUGGGAUCAAGGCAGCACACACACAUGGCCUGAAUCAACUGAUACUCACAUCUCUUUCUCAUGUACCCACCUCAGUGUGUGCAUCGCUCUAUCAUGAAACUGACCUCACCUAGCCCUGCAAGCAACGAUUACAUAGCACAUGUGACACGAAAACACACUCCUGCACGCACCCCCACACGUCUACAUGGGUGUAUAACCAGAGCUCAGUCACCUUCGCUUCAGGAGGUGGAGGAGGAG